GUGGUUACUGAGAGCGGAGAAUAUGGGGAAGGAAGUACGAGGAGGGUGAAAUUGGGCAUUAAGUGAAAAAGUUGAAAAAUUGAUUGGGUAAGUGAGAGAUGAGAAACGAAAAGUUGAAGAUUGGUGGCGGCUGAAAGAGGUGGUUGAGAGGUAGAAGGUGGUCGUGGCGGUGGCGAUGGCCGCCAUUGGAGGUGGUGGAAGUUGUGGACUGUAAUGACAGUUGACAGUUAGCUUCUUUUUUUUCUGCUCUUUCUCUAUUCUGAUUUUUUUUAAAAAAAAU
rnacentral:lncRNA from 1 species